rfam:Nicotiana attenuata strain TT chromosome 2, whole genome shotgun sequence.
UGGACAGAUUAUUGUAUUCAACUAUAUUUACGGCGUGAAAUAGGGAAUUACACUGUUUUUAAAACGGAAAGUGAAUCAAUUAACAUAAUAGACUCCU